UACGGAGGAUGCGAGCGUUAUCCGGAUUUAUUGGGUUUAAAGGGUGCGUAGGCGGAGUCCCAAGUCAGCGGUAAAAAUUCGGGGCUCAACCCCGUCGUGCCGUUGAAACUGGCGCCCUUGAGUGGGCGAGAAGUAUGCGGAAUGCGUGGUGUAGCGGUGAAAUGCAUAGAUAUCACGCAGAACCCCGAUUGCGAAGGCAGCAUACCGGCGCCCGACUGACGCUGAAGCACGAAAGCGUGGGUAUCGAACAGG
rnacentral:rRNA from 1 species